rnacentral:rRNA from 1 species
GUAAACGGGUGGCGUCAAGCUGCAAGCCCGGAGGAUUCAGCUGGCUAGGAUGUUGUGAUGUGCCUGGCGCAUCCAUCAGCCGGAGUAAGAUGUGAUAGUCCACUGGGAGACGGUGGGCCCGGCCGCAAGGUUGGGAUAUGUGUACCGGGUGUUAGCCGGAGCAUGCUAUUCGUCUGUUGGGCUGUCUAGCUAGUGCACUUUCUCUGUGGUGAACACCACGACCGGUGGGACUGCCAGUCUGCUGUAGUCAAGUCUUGCUGAGUUGGUCCUCGUGGCUGACUUGGUGGGAUCACAGGCAAUGUCAGUGAACGGCGUAGGAGUGCCUUUGGUGUUCCUACGUGUUAUCGGCCGCUGCUUGUCAACGGGCCUGCUCGGUGGUUGUUGUAACUGCCAUUGGGUGGUCUGGUGGACUAUGGUGGUAUUAAAAACUGUGCAGGGCACCGGAUAUGUCGGCCUCAAAAGCGUCCUGCACUGGCAUGUUACAAGUGCGAGGGGGUAUCAUUGCGGCUCGCCUGUUGUUGAGUCUGAUCGUCGUGUCGCCUGCGCAAAGUGGGCCCGGCGGUGGCUUGAUGCAGGAUGGG